ensembl:lncRNA
GUUAUACGCUGAGCUCUUCAUUUCUGAGCAUUGUUUUUUUGCCUAGAAGCAAAAUGCUGCGUGCGUUGGGGAUGUUAUUGAGAGCAGAUGAAAGGCUUCCGGACUAGCUUCAGGAAAAGUUGGCAUCCUGACUUGACUGAUGGGAUGUUAACAGCUCCGAAGAAGAAGAAAAUCCAUAUGCCAAAGCAGAGGAAGAAUGUUGGAUGAAGCAUGGAAACAGGAUAAUGACUUCAAUACUUCAGAUGCUUCAGAUCGUGGAAUGUCUGGGACUAUCAAAACAUACAAUAAAUACAGCAGUCAUAAUCAGAAACAUUUUGCUUUAGCAUGUAAGCAAUUAUUUCUAUAAAAUCAUUGAUAUUCUUAGGAUUUAACAGGCAUGGUUGGCAAAUUUAUUUACAUCUUUCCAAUGUUUUAUGCAUUUGUUGUUCCAGCUUCAUCUUUGCUAUUUCUGUUCCCUUGUCUUUCUUGAAUUUAUGAUUAAUGUUUCUUUAGACAGCAAAUAGUUAUGCAAAGUCAUAGCAUUUUUGAGAAAUAAAAUAAGUCAAUAAAAUGUCA